GCCAGAGUGGUGUAAUGGUUUGAGUGCUGGACUAUGACUCUGGAGACCAGGGUUCAAUUCCCAGUUUGGCC
rnacentral:tRNA from 1 species